GAGAAAAGACGCGUGUACGAAGCACACAAAGUGUACAAUGUGUAUGUACCCAUAUACGUGUGCAAGGGGGCUUGAUGGCACACUUCGUGAAACUAGCUCGUAGGGGGAUCAACGAUCAUCUAAUCGUUGAUACGUAUGGAACAUCCAAUGGUCAUCUAGUCGUUGAUACGUAAGAGACAUUCAAUUGUCAUCUAGUCAUUGAUGAGAUGGAGAUUUGUAACAGCAGUCAUUAAAUUGUCAUCUAGCCAUUGAUGAGAUGAAGAUUUGUAACAACAGUCAUUAAAUGCGUAUAAGUCAUAUAACUUGUAGCUAUUGGGGUGCAUGUAACCACAUGUAACUUGUAUCUUGGCCCUCUAUAGCAAGGGCCCUCCUACCCAUAUGAGUUUGGACACUUAGAAC
rnacentral:lncRNA from 1 species